rnacentral:tRNA from 1 species
AUGUAGCUCAGUGGUAGAGCAUUUGCCUAGCAUGUGAGGGGCCCUGGGUUUAAUUCCUAGUAU